rnacentral:rRNA from 1 species
GAUGAACGCUGGCGGCGUGCCUAAUACAUGCAAGUCGAGCGAACAGACGAGGAGCUUGCUCCUCUGACGUUAGCGGCGGACGGGUGAGUAACACGUGGAUAACCUACCUAUAAGACUGGGAUAACUUCGGGAAACCGGAGCUAAUACCGGAUAAUAUAUUGAACCGCAUGGUUCAAUAGUGAAAGACGGUUUUGCUGUCACUUAUAGAUGGAUCCGCGCCGCAUUAGCUAGUUGGUAAGGUAACGGCUUACCAAGGCAACGAUGCGUAGCCGACCUGAGAGGGUGGUCGGCCACACGGGAACUGAGACACGGUCCAGACUCCUACGGGAGGCAGCAGUAGGGAAUCUUCCGCAAUGGGCGAAAGCCUGACGGAGCAACGCCGCGUGAGUGAUGAAGGUCUUCGGAUCGUAAAACUCUGUUAUUAGUGAAGAACAAAUGUGUAAGUAACUAUGCACGUCUUGACGGUACCUAAUCAGAAAGCCACGGCUAACUACGUG